AACGAACGCUGGCGGCAUGCCUAACACAUGCAAGUCGAACGAGACCUUAGGGUCUAGUGGCGCACGGGUGCGUAACGCGUGGGAACCUGCCCUUAGGUUCGGAAUAACUCCCCGAAAGGGGUGCUAAUACCGGAUAAUGUCUUCGGACCAAAGAUUUAUCGCCUUUGGAUGGGCCCGCGUUGGAUUAGCUAGUUGGUAGGGUAAAAGCCUACCAAGGCGACGAUCCAUAGCUGGUCUGAGAGGAUGAUCAGCCACACUGGGACUGAGACACGGCCCAGACUCCUACGGGAGGCAGCAGUGGGGAAUAUUGGACAAUGGGCGAAAGCCUGAUCCAGCAAUGCCGCGUGAGUGAUGAAGGCCUUAGGGUUGUAAAGCUCUUUUACCCGGGAUGAUAAUGACAGUACCGGGAGAAUAAGCUCCGGCUAACUCCG
rnacentral:rRNA from 1 species